rnacentral:rRNA from 1 species
GACGAUGCGACGCCGCGUGAGCGAAGAAGGCCCUAGGGUUGUAAAGCUCUGUCAGGGGUUAAGAAAUGUAGAUAGGUUAAUACCCUGUUUAUUUGACAAAAGCCCCAAAGGAAGCCACGGCUAACUCUGUGCCAGCAGCCGCGGUAAUACAGAGGUGGCAAGCGUUGUUCGGUAUUAUUGGGCGUAAAGAGCAUGUAGGUGGUUUUGUAAGUCAGAUGUGAAAGCCUUCUGUUCAAAGGAAGAACGGCAUCUGAAACUGCAGAUCUUGAGUGUAGGAGGGGAGAGUGGAACUUCUGGUGGAGCGGUGAAAUGCGUAGAUAUCAGAAGGAACGUCGGCGGCCAAAGCGACUCUCUGGCCUAUUACUGACACUGAGUGUGCGAAAGUUAGGGGAGCAAACGGGAUUAGAUACCCCGGUAGUCCUAACCGUAAACGAUGGGCACUAAGUAGAGGG